UUAUACUAUUCAGUUGUCUUUAAUUGCGUUUUUUUUUUCGAACAGGUGAACAAUCACUGCAUUGCUUAUCGUGACAACAUGACUAGUAAAUUAAUUUACUUGAAGGAUCCUGGAACAAUUUCAACUUUAUAGUAACAUCAUGAUGCUAAUAAUGCCUAAGUCGGCUGAUUUAAUAACAUUACAGGGUGAUGAUGAAUUUUUGGAGGAAAUGAUUGAAUACUCAAUCAGACCACUGGUCAAAUAAAAAAUGAAAAAAAAAAUAACAUUUAAUGUUAAGAAAAGUUUUCGAUACCAUUCAGGGAAUGUAUUACUUAAUGGAAGUAAGUUUUUUAAUUUUACAUCUGACAAUAUAUCAUAUUUAAGGCCAUUUUCAGACAGUGCCUCUCACUUUUUAUAAAUAUUAAAUGACUCAACUGUCACAAGCGUAUCAAAAUUUUAUUAAUAAAUUAAAAAACAACUAAAGCAUUAAUUAAAAAACGGUCAACGUAGUCGUAAUUUCGCUUGGAUAUAGGCUUAAAAAACAAUUACUUACAGUUGAUAUCAAUUGGGAGUUAACAAAAAUUUGGAAAGAAACUUCCAGCGAAAUCGUCAUGUAAAUUUUAUAAUUCUAAUUUGAAAAUUUUUCAGGCUAAAAUUUAUUCAACAAAUUUCAAUUAACUCAUAAUAGACAUCAUCUGUUUUGAUUGUUUAUUAAUUAAUUAAUAAAAUUUCAAUACGACUAUGACAGUUGAAAGUUAUGGCAUAUUUUUGAGAAGUAAAAAUACUAUUCAAUCCAAAUAAAAAAAUAAAAAAAUUAUUAGAGUUUUAAUAUUUAAUCAGUUACAAUAAAUAAACAUGUGGUCCAUUUAUAAUAGCGGCUAAAAUUAGUGCGGCAUGGAAAAUAUUAUUAUUUUACCGCUAUGAAUUAAAAAAAAAAAUUUUUUUUUUUAAACGUAUGUUGGCAAAAAAAAUUGAAAAUUUAAAUAUAAUAUUUUUGUACAUUUUUUGUUUAAUA